AUUGAACGCUGGCGGCGGGCCUAACACAUGCAAGUCGAACGAUUGGCGGACGGGUGAGUAAUGUCUGGGAAACUGCCUGAUGGAGGGUGAUAACUACUGGAAACUGUAGCUAAUACCGCAUACCCUCGGAUGUGCCCAGAUGGGAUUAGCUAGUGGGUGGGGUAAAGUCUCACCUAGGCGACGAUCCCUAGCUGGUCUGAGAGGAUGACCAGCCACACUGGAACGGGGACACGGUCCAGACGGCUACGGGAGGCAGCAGUGGGGAAUAUUGCAGAAUGGGCGCAAGCAUGAUGCAGACAUGCCGCGUGGAUGAAGAAGGACUUCGGGUUGUAAAGUACUUUCAGCGGGGAGGCGUUACCCGCAGAAGAAGCACCGGCUAACUCCGUGCCAGCAGCCGCGGUAAUUC
rnacentral:rRNA from 1 species